CGCGUAGGCGGCCUGUUAAGUCAGACGUGAAAUCCCUCGGCUCAACCGGGGAACUGCGUCUGAUACUGGCGGGCUUGAAUUCGGGAGAGGGAUGUGGAAUUCCAGGUGUAGCGGUGAAAUGCGUAGAUAUCUGGAGGAACACCGGUGGCGAAGGCGGCAUCCUGGACCGACAUUGACGCUGAGGCGCGAAAGCCAGGGGAGCAAACG
rnacentral:rRNA from 1 species